UACGUAGGGGGCUAGCGUUGUCCGGAAUCAUUGGGCGUAAAGAGCGUGUAGGCGGCCCGGUAAGUCCGCUGUGAAAGUCGGGGGCUCAACCCUCGAAUGCCGGUGGAGUACUGUCGGGCUAGAGUGCGGUAGAGGAUGGUGGAAUUCCCGGUGUAGCGGUGAAAUGCGUAGAGAUCGGGAGGAACACCCGUGGCGAAGGCGGCCAUCUGGACCAGCACUGACGCGGAGGCACGAAAGCGUGGGGAGCAAACAGG
rnacentral:rRNA from 1 species